rnacentral:rRNA from 1 species
UACGUAGGGGGCGAGCGUUGUCCGGAAUCAUUGGGCGUAAAGCGCGUGUAGGCGGCUCGGUAAGUCUGCUGUGAAAGUCCAGGGCUCAACCCUGGGAUGCCGGUGGAUACUGUCGAGCUCGAGUCCGGAAGAGGCGAGUGGAAUUCCUGGUGUAGCGGUGAAAUGCGCAGAUAUCAGGAGGAACACCGGUGGCGAAGGCGGUCUGCUGGGCCAAGACUGACGCUGAGGCGCGACAGCGUGGGGAGCAAACAGG